CUUAGAGCUUCUCAAAGAAUAUUACAAGUUAUUUACAGAAAAAAUGCCUCCUGAUUGUUUACCACAUUUUCAAGAACAAAAUGAUUUAAAGGGAUUGCUAGAAAGUCUUCAUCAAAAUAUCCAGGCCAAAAAGAGAAAGAAUGUAGAAAUCAUGUGGCUGGCUGCAACGAUUUGCCGCAAGCUGAACGGAGUGCGCUUCACCUGCUGCAAGAGUGCCAAAGACAGGACAUCCAUGUCAGUGAC